UACGGGGGGGGCAAGCGUUGUUCGGAAUUACUGGGCGUAAAGGGCGCGUAGGCGGUUUGCUAAGUUGGAUGUGAAAACUCUGGGCUUAACCCAGAGCCUGCAUCCAAAACUAGCAAGCUAGAGUUCUGGAGGGGAUAGCGGAAUUCCUGGUGUAGCGGUGAAAUGCGUAGAUAUCAGGAGGAACACCGGUGGCGAAGGCGGCUAUCUGGACAGAAACUGACGCUGAGGCGCGACAGCGUGGGGAGCAAACGGG
rnacentral:rRNA from 1 species